rnacentral:lncRNA from 1 species
AUCUGUGUAGAAUCUCUCGGUGAGAUUCUUAGUGUUUUAAAAUGAAAGUAGGGGCUCAGCCUUGGGAGUCAUUAUGACGCUUCAAUGGUCAAUCAAACUCACUUAGAGAGGUUGAACCAUGUGGUGAGAAGUAGCAGGAGGUCCUUAGUCUUGGGGGCUCCCAGUAUGCCUCAAGAGGCGGAACGGACUGACCUCGUGUAAGGCAGGGUGGGGAAUCCAAGUUUCAUAAGUCACCACGGGUGCAAGACUCGCCAUAGCCCGACUAUCGUUUUAAAGUCCGGACGAGUCAAGUCUAGAAAUUUGCAUGCUUAGGUGAUAUUUUUGAAUCUGUUUGAGAUAAGUUGUUCUUUUAUGUUGCAUGUUUAAUACAACUGUAUGAUUUUAUAUAAUUAGCUCACCCUUGCCUUGUUUGUUGUUGUAUGUUGUAUGUAUUUCUUUUGCAAUGAUCAUUCAUUUUUUAAUGUGAGCAGAGGAGAAUGAGGUCACCUUGGAGGACGCCUUGGAGAGGAACGAAAACACUGAUGCUGCUCCUUAGUUCCUUAGGAUUUCUGAACUGUUAAUUUUCAUUUGAAUUCAUGUAUCUAUUUUGAAAAACUCUAGCAUUUUUCCAUGUGCUUUAAUUUCUUCUAACUUUCUGGAUUACUGUAACCACAACCUAAAUACUUUUCUUACUCUUAAACUGCUCUCUUUUAUUAUGUAUGAUGACGUCUUAAAUUAUAUAAUUAUACGUUAUAUUUUGGGAUGUCACAUUUAUGGUAUUAGAGCAGUUUGUUCCUAGGAUAACCUACGGGUUGCGGUUUUGUCGUGUCUUUCCUGUGGAAAGUUGAGUCUAAAUGGUAUGUCAUACCAUCUAUUCCAAGUUUAGAUAGUAAAAAAAAAAUCGUAUUUAACUGGAAGUUUUGAGAACAGAAAAAUGUCUUGAUAGGAGUAAUGAGGGUGCACACUCAUGACUCUUACCAGAGAUGAUUUUCCUUUCUUAAUUCUGAAGGUUUGGGGUAAGAAAGAGUUGGGGUUAUCCUACGUGUAUGAAAUGGUUUAAUGCUUUUGUAUGCAAUUGUGGUUGGAGUCUGUUUCUGGGUCCUUGUGUAUUAGAUUCAUGGAGAGGGGUGGAGGUAGUGGUUCUUCUAGUAUAAUUAGGAUCUGUUUUGGGGUUAAUUUAAGAGGAUGCUAACUUAGUUUCAAUUCCGUUUAACUAAAAUAUAUGUUAUGUUACUUGGUUAUACUAUCACUACAUUACCAUGUUUUUCUUUUCUAAGAUACUGAAAUUCACUUCCUAUUGAUUGAAUGUAAUGUUCUUGGUUGUUGACGUGAAAUUAUUGUAUGAGCUUGUUGUGGUUAGGUAUCUUGUUUGAUCACUUGAAUAUGUUGUAAUUAUGUUUGAUGAAGUACCUGCAGUAUGGGUUUAUAUUUUAAAUACUUUUGACUUGUUAAUGUUAUACUUCAUGGGUAAUGGCUGAUUAGAGCCAACAUCAUUGUUGAUAUAUUGGGGGUCACGAAUUGGAUGGUACAAAAUGAGAAGGAACACGAUUUUAAUGUCUGCAUUGCCUAUAAAAUGUUGGAAUUGAAUGAAUGUUUGUGUCUUGGUAUGAUAGAGUGUAAGUCUGAAAUUGAUUUGAUAUAAGCAUGAGUUUGGUUGUCCUUAUUGUUAUUUUUAUUGUUAUAUUUCUCUGCAGACGUGUGAUAUGUGAUGUUUAUUAUUUUCAUUUGUAGUAAAAAUGAAAUAAACUCUAUAGUAUAAAAUUAUUUUUAUUUCCAGCAUACAAACUCGUGCUGUCAGAACCAUACAUCAUAGUUUAGUAUAAAUUGAUUUCUUACUUUUUUUUCCAUCAUGUUAGGGAGAUGAGGUUAUAUUAUUUUUUUUUUCUUUUUUUUAAUCACGAAAGCUUUAUCAAUUUUGCCCAUAAUGUAUUGUUUACUAAAUCUUCAAUUUAUGCUUUAUUCUAGCUUAUUUUAUUAUUUCAUCUCCACUUUAUAAUAAUAUUAUAACUAUCAGAGUUAUUGUUUUAAAUUAACACUAAAGCAAUCUUUUUAAUUCUACAACAUAUAAAAUAGUUUUUGGGCUAAUCCAUGUUGUUUUGUUUCAGAAUGUUUGGUCAAAUUAUUUCUGCGCACAAAUCAAUUUAUUACUCUUUGUAUCAUAAAUUCUAUGUGCAAAAAAACAAAAAAUUAUUUGCAUAGAUUUGUAAUAUUCUCAAUUGUUAUAUGAUGUCUAAUGUUCUAGUGAUUUUAUUAAUUGUUCGAUUCAUGCCUCUCGAUAGAAUAAAUAUAUAAAAUUUGCACUUUAACAUAUAUAGGAUACAGUGCUGUAAUUUCCAAGAAGUGUUCUAAUUAUCGUUAUAUUUUUAUUUCAAUGGUUGCAGGUGAACUAUAAUAUUUUUGUGAUUUACUUUACUCACAUGAGUCAUACUAUUUCAUAGAAACUGCAACUCUGUUUUAUUUCAUUAACCAUCAUGCUGUUAUAAAUUAUGUUAUGACUACCAAAUUUUUGUUCACCACUGCAAAUUAUGUUGAAUCCUGAAUUGGUGUGUUGAUUUAAACUGUUAUGUACCUGUUGAGUAUAAAUUGACUUGUGUUAUGAUGCUGAAAAUUGUGCGUGUAAAAAUGUAUUGGUUGUAAGCUGUUAUGAUGGGAUUGAUUGCUGAAAUAUAGAUGGGUUUAGUGAAGAUAAGAGGAAUAUAAUUUUUUGCAUAAUUAUUAUAUAAGUAUGGGUACUGUAAGAAAACUUCUUGUUUGAGAAAUAGAGAAAGGAAGAAGUGUUGUGAAUUGGUAGAGGCUAAAGAUGUGAUCUAUAUUUUUAUAUCUUUAUCGAACCAUGUAGAAAUUUCUUAUAUGUCUUAUGAAUAUCUUUUCUUGCACUUCCAUAAUCUUCAUAAUUAUUAAUUGUUAUUCCAUAAUGAUUCUGUAAUUUAUAAGUAAAUUUAAGCAUUUUUUUUAGAAUGUAUUUUUAUUUUAGAUUUUAAAAUAUACAAUUUGAAAUAUAUUUAUUUUAUUUUGAAAUAGACAAUUUAAAAUACAGAAGUUAUAAUUUAAGUCAUAUAUUCUGAAAAAAAUAAAUAAAUUUUAGAUUGUAUAAUGUUAAAUAUAUUUUGUAUUUUAUAUUCUAUGAUGUAUCAUUUAUGUUUAAAUUGGUUGGUCACGUGAUGCAAAGACCUUGUAUAAACAAUUAUUAGUUUAUGUGAUGCUUUUAUUAAAGGAAUGAAUCAUACUUGUUCUUUUUAAAGUUUGGGAAAACCUUUUAAAGGAUAGGAAUACUAUAACUUAGUUUUGGAAAUGGCAAUGCUAAGAUUAAAUAGUAUAUUACAUUAUAUUAUAUAUUACAUAAUAUGCUUAUUCUAUAAUUUUUUUUUGGUGAACCUUUUAUAUUAUAUAAUAUAAACUUAUACAUAUAUUAGAUAUAUAAUAGUAUAGAAACGUUAACAAGUUAUUUAGUUAACUUAGUUUUGUUAAUAUUAUAUUAUAAUAUAUCAAUAUUAGAAUUAUGUAAGUUUGACCUUUGAUUAAUUUAUUGAUUGGCAUAAAUUUAAAUUAUAUACUAUUAUCAUUAAAAUAGUAGCUUUAGGUUUUGUUAGGAAAUAAAUAUAUAAAUUAAGAGUGAUAGAAAAUGGGUAAGAGAAGUGAGAGUUUGAGUCAGUGGGAGUUGUAAGAGGUCAUGAAGCUUGGAGGAAGUGAUUGCGUAGAGAGGAAGAUAAUUUUCUAGGUAUGGGAAGUUGUUUAAUUGUGUGUGUGAAUGACAUGCUUCUCUCUACUUAAUUGUGUUCACUCGAGUAUUGUAUGAUGGGGAAUUGAGUUAUCAGAUUUGACUGGGAAGAGGGUAGUGAUGAAUUAAGUAUGAGAAAUAUGUUAAAUUGAUGUUUGAGUUGUAUUGGGUUAAGGAAAAUGGUUCUCCUCUGUUCACUUUGUGACCAGUAGUAAAAUGGGACUAUGCAUAUGUUUCUUGAGUUGUACCUUUUUCUGUGGUGAUUGUAAUAUGGGAAUAUUAUAAGGGUGUGAUUUCUCUUAAAAGGAAAGAAGAACAAGAUAGUUGUUUGGUGGAAAUGGAUAUAUAAUGAGUUAUGUUUUCAAUUUUAUAAAUUAAGAAGUUGGUAUAAAAAUAAGUUUUUGUGAUGUUAAGAUGCAUUAGGUGUGGUAUAGGACGUUGUUCAGUGAUAUAUAUGUUUGGGUAUUAGUAUAUUAUAGGGCAUGAUUUUAAAGGGCUAAAAGAAUAUGGUUAAUAGAAACUGUUAUAAGGAGAUUUUUUUUUUCAUAUGCAAAAUAAUAAUAUUAAGGUUGGUGCGGUGAUUCUCUUAUGGUAUAAAUUCAGAAUCUGUCUUUUUGUUUGUUUGGGAAUAAGUUGGGGGUCAAUUGAAUUAAAUGAUUAUCUUUCACGUUAUCUGGUGUAUUACAAUAAUAUACUAAAAUUUUGUAACCAAUAAGUUAUCACAUUAGGAAAUCCAUAAUAAAGAGUGGUUUUUCAUGUUAAGUAACGUCAUUGGAGAGUAAUAUCAUAGUAAAAAUAGGUGAUUGUAUUAGAGGAUGUGAUAAGAGUAGGUUGUUUCUUCUCUCUAGAAAGUUUAAUUUUCGAGGACGAAAAUUUUUUAUGUGUGAGAGAAUGUAAGGGUCUGUAAAAAAAAAUAGUAAUAAUAAAGGGGUUGUUGGGCCUUAUUUGAGGCAGCCAGACCCAUAAAAACUAAAGGUACCUUAGCCUUAGAAGGGGGCUUUUAGAAAUCAGAUUUCAUAAGCCACUUACAUUCUCUCUCUAGAACACUAAGUUCCUAAAAUCCUCUGCCUUCUCUCUAAAAUUCUCUCUGCCUUCACUCUAACCCUCAAACACACUGACUCAGUGCAUGUCCCUUUUGGUGGCACCUCCGUUGUCGUAACGUCAAGGGCUUCGUUACCAUCCGAACAAUUUUGCGUUCUUCAGCGGGUAAGCAGUUUCUCCUUUUUCCGCUGUUUACGGACCCUAGGGCAAGCAACUCUGCUGGUUGCAUGUGCCUUGUGCGUUCUUCCUUCCGUCCUUGUUCAUUCUAAAUCUAAGGGUUGUGUUCUAUCACCAGUUUGGUGAUCUGUAGGUCCUGUUCAAGGUUCUGUGUGGAAUUCACUGUUUAAAGUGUUCUAGCCAACUGUUUUACGCUACCACCAAGGUAAGGGGAGCUAACUAUAUAAGUAUUUUGUUGUUCUGAUUAAUUCCUGAAUUUAUGAGAAAAUAUGUUGAAUUGUGUUUGUACACUGGUUAACUCUGUUUUAAUGCUCUAUGCAUGUGAAAUUUAACUGUGAUAUAUUGUUUGAUAUUUAAUUGUCUCUGUUUUAAGUAUNNN